CUGGUUCCGCUAGGCGAUUUUUGCUUUCACUCUGGUUUCCAUGGCAGCUUUUUGCUGUGGCCGGCAGUCGGCGGGAACUUGUGUCCACUUUGUCGGAUGUAGACCUAAGAGCUAACUCGAGCUCUAUACUGUGUUUUAUUGAGAAUCACGGAACGUUAGUGCUUGUAGUGGUUGUGGGAAAUAUUUUAGUCUAACAGUUUCAGGGAAGUGAAGUCAUUUCCCAAAGUUACAAAGUGCAUGGGAGAUCUGAGACUAGGAAACACAAUUUUUAACUUGCAGGCCUGUAUUCUUGGCACUACAUCAUGCUUGAUUGGCCAUUCGGGAAAAGGGGGAAAAAAGCAUCUUGGGAUUACUUUAGGAUACAACCAUGCAUAAAGAGGAAUUUCAUCUGAAAUUUUUCAUGUGUGUGAUUCAAUCUCGCGAGUUAGUCAGGACUCCUCGGGGCACAGGGGGAGAAGCUUCGACUUCCAGCAUUCUCGUACAAAAGCCAUCACCUGAGAUAGACAACAUGAAGUACCUACAUGAUACGGAUGGUCCAGACACUGUGAAUGGCAUACCUAUUUUGA